rnacentral:rRNA from 1 species
CGCGGAUAGAUGGGCGCAGCCUGAUCCGCAUGCCGCGUGUGUGAAGAAGGCCUUCGGGUUGUAAAGCACUUUUAUCCGUAACGAAAUACCAUUGGUUAAUAACCGGUGGGGCUGACGGUACCUGAGGAAUAAGCACCGGCUAACUUCGUGCCAGCAGCCGCGGUAAUACGAAGGGUGCAAGCGUUAAUCGGAAUUACUGGGCGUAAAGGGUGCGUAGGCGGUUUGUUAAGUCUGUUGUGAAAUCCCCGGGCUCAACCUGGGAAUGGCAAUGGAUACUGGCAAGCUAGAGUGUGUCAGAGGAUGGUGGAAUUUCCGGUGUAGCGGUGAAAUGCGUAGAGAUCGGAAGGAACAUCAGUGGCGAAGGCGGCCAUCUGGGACAACACUGACGCUGAAGCACGAAAGCGUGGGGAGCAAACAGGAUUAGAUACCCUGGUAGUCCACGCCCUAAACGAUGCGAACUGGAUGUUGGUCUCAACUCGGAGAUCAGUGUCGAAGCUAACGCGUUAAGUUCGCCGCCUGGGGAGUACGGUCGCAAGACUG